CCCUGGUGAGGCUCCGCUCAGCGAUGGACCUGGUCACCCAGUUGGAAGCCAGACCAACCCUUCUCCUCGUGUUUCCGGAUCUGGCUGAACUGGUAAAGGAAGCUUGGGAGGUUUAUAUGGAGGCUCAAUUGGAGAAUGUGGGUUUGAGAGCACCACCAGCGUCUCCCCCGGCUUCCACGCCAGUGUCUGCAGCGUCUCCCCCGGCUUCCAAGCCAGUGUCUGCAGCGUCUCCCCCGGCUUCCACGCCACUGUCUGCACGUUUCCCC